rnacentral:misc_RNA from 1 species
GAUGAAGAACGUAGCGAAAUGCGAUAAGUAGUGUGAAUUGCAGAAUUCAGUGAAUCAUCGAAACUUUGAACGCACAUUGCGCCCCUUGGUAUUCCAUGGGGCAUGCCUGUUCGAGCGUCAUUUGUACCUUCAAGCUCUGCUUGGUGUUGGGUGUUUGUCUCGCCUCUGCGUGUAGACUCGCCUCAAAACAAUUGGCAGCCGGCGUAUUGAUUUCGGAGCGCAGUACAUCUCGCGCUUUGCACUCAUAACGACGACGUCCAAAAGUACAUUUUUACACUCUUGACCUCGGAUCAGGUAGGGAUACCCGCUGAACUUAAGCAUAUCAAUAAGCGGAGGA